UCGGCUGCCACGGCACCGAGUACGCCUCCGCAUUUCGAACGCCUCAGCAUUUCGAAUCCGAAUACCCAUGAUGAAACUUCCUCCGUCUCUACAGAGACCUGAUGAUAAAACUGUUUUAUUUUCAAUGUUCUAGACUCUUGUUUUAUUUUCAAUGUUUCAUUGCAGUACUUUUGUGAAUACGUAUUGGAUUCAUGUUCGAAUCCAAGUUCAGCAUAUGUCAUACUGCUCUUAUGAACUGAACUCAGUGGCAGGGCCUUCUAAUUCUCGUGGUAAUAUGUUGCUCAGUAAAGUUGACUUGAUGUUUCAUGACAUUAGCAGUGAGGAAGUUUAAUAUUUAAGAAUAUGACUACAUAAGCAAUUACCAUCGCCCGACUUUUAGCACAAUUAAAAGCCGAUGGAUAUACAUAAUGGUGGCGCAGGGAAGUCCUAAUCUGAGAGCAUAUGCUCAUGAGAAAUGCGGUAUGCACUAGAAAGUACAUUGAAAUUUGGUUACUAAAUGACAUGAUAACUGAUUAUUGUUGGAUGAAAUAUGUUCACCGGACCCUACUCUUUAGAUAUUUGGUAAUUCAUAAUUAAAGCAGCUCAUAUGAGCUGGUAAAUCAUUUAGUAAAAGAAUAUCACAGCAAAUACUUUGUACCCUAACAUUGCUUUAUGUCCAUAUAAAGUGAGCUUGACUCAUUUAGCGUGAAACAAUACUCUCAGUAAAAUACCUAACACCGACUUGUGACACCUAAAGCUACACAUGAUAAAAUUUCUAUUCUCUGGUCUUCGAAACAGAUUUGGAACAGAAAUCCGUUUGGUAAUGUAAUUUGAUUUUUCUAUUUCUAGAACAAAUUUCUAUUCCAUAAAUUGAUUUGAAGGAGAAACCUGAAGUUAAAAUUUUUAACUUCUCAAAAUCCGUUUGGUAAUAUAAUUUGAUUUUUCUAUUUCUAGAACAAAUUUCUAUUCCAUAAAUUGAUUUGAAGGAGAAACCUGAAGUUAAAAUUUUUAACUUCUCAAUUUCUAGUAAGAAAUUAAUUUCCGUUCUAGAAAUUUUGUUGUGCGCACCAUAAAAGAUUAGGUUUGUUGACUUUUAGUCAAUUAAUGGAUUUGAGAACCUCUGCCCCAUAGAGGCAGGCAAAAGCAUUUGGAACAAUUCUGCUUGACACCUUUUUUCAUGUUUGUCGGUACCCGCUGACAACUUAAAACACAUGAAACCAAAAAUAUUGGCCCCGGAGGUUUCCGUGCAUUCUUUUUACCUUGUCGAUGCGCAUGCCACUUGCCGGCUGGAGAAGAUGACUCACUUGCAGUUCAGGUGCCUAAAGUAUUAAACAAAAACCAAACCAAAGAAUCCUUGCUUGUCAAGUUGGUUGACAGAUAAUGCAUUUGAAGGAUCCAUGAAGACCAUAUAGCCCAUAGAAAAUAUUAGGUACCCUAAGAGUGCCACACAAUUUUUGUUCUGAAUUAUUCAGAGCAUGACACAUGUCCAUCUCUCUUCCACAUCAUCCCACUCUCUCAUUUGUAGUCCCUCUUUGUUAAUGCUUUGACGCUCUCUCUCCUCUGCUCUCCUCUGUAGACGGUCUCUCUCCUCUCUCUCCUCUAUGUCUCUCGCUUCCAUCACCCCUCAUCAAGUGAAACGCGAUGCCAACGGCCCUCCACCUUUAAUGGUUGCCUCCGUUGCCCCCGACUUUGACGCCAACGCAGCCUCUGCCUCCUCUCUUGAACCCGACUCUGACACCAACACCCCUUUGCCUCCCUCUUGCUACCUCUAGUCCUCUCUCUCUCUCUCUCUCUCUCUCUCUCUCGUCCUCAAAGUCGCGUCUCUCUUCCAGCAAACCACAAUGCUGACGCCCCUCUGCCAGUUGCCUCCGUCGCCCUCGACUCAGACACCAACGCCUCUACCUCUGCUUCUGCCUCCACUUACGUGCCUAAUGCCAACGAACCCUUGCUCGCGUUUUGACCUUCCUCUCUGCAAACGAAGGUCGCUCUGCUCACUCUUUCUCUCUUUCCUCCACAAAGCACCCCUGCUCUUGAACGCGGACGCCGCCGACGCCGUUGCCUCCCACCAUUGCCUUCCCAAGCCCCACUGAUAGAGAGAUUGUCUGCAAUUUUGUUCUCAGCAAUUUUUUUUUCCCCGCAACGGAAGAGAGAACGGGGAGAGAGAUAGUUUGCAGAGGAGAGAGAGCGUUAGAGCAGUGGGCCAGGGACUAUGGAAGAGAAGAGAGAGUGGGAUGGCGUGGGAGAGAGACGAACAUGUGUCAUGCUUUGAAUGGUUUAGAGUAAAAAUUGGGUGGCACUCUUAGGGUACCUAAUAUUUUCUCAUCAUUCUAUACAACCACCUUGACACGAAUUAUGAGAGGGUAGAGUGGCUUGACAACCUCUGUAACACGAAGACGACAAGAAUGACUUUCAGACAACAACCUUGUUGCAGAGCCGGGCGACAACUCCAUACCUUCUCAACCCUCAGAUAUGUCCUAGCAUUCACUGGAUGGAAUAGUAGACAAUUGUGAUAUCAGCAUAUCAAUCCAACAAUUUCCGGUAAAAUCUUUACUUAGCGCCAAUCCAACUGUAUCUGCAGUAUCAGGACUCAUAACAAAUGAGGGGCCGUAGAAAUUUUACCUAUUCGGGGUACUGUUUCGCCAAAUUUCCCUCUCGACCGCUCCGCCAGAGCUUCGCAUUCUCUCUAAUGAAACAAAUCCCUCACUCCAAUACUCAUUGCGACAAUCUCCCUCCUCGUUCUACUAUCCUCAACAUCCCCAACUCUCUCCCAAACCAUAUCACACUCGUCCUCCAAUUUGCUCAAGUGUCUCCUCAAAUUCACCCGCUUUUGCAGCCAUCUUCUCAUUCUCCCUCUUCACUCUCAUCGCCUCAUCAACAAUCUCCUCUGACCCCCUAACGAACCCCUCUUUCUCUCUCAUCAAUUCCCUCAGCUCCUCGUACGUACCCCCGCCCGCAUUGUGUCCUCCUGCAAUUGCCGUUUUUCCAAUUUCACCGCCUUCAUCGCCACCUCCACCUCCUCGACACGCCCCUCCCCUCUCCUAAUCACAUCCAUACAUCUGAGAACCACCGAAACCUUCUCCAGCAAUCUCUUCGUGCAAUUCCAAUACUCGUGCCAUUUCACGUCCGACCGCUCCUCAAUUUUCUCCAAAUUCAGGCGUAGAAGGGGCUGAACUGGAAAAAGAAAAAACAAGGGGGGGCUUUCUAGUCUUUUCAGCCGAAAGAACCGGUUUCGGGUCGGUCGGUGGAUCCGGACCCGAUGAUUCCAAAAUAAAAAAGAAAACCCUGGAAGCCCUAGAGAAAUUGUCUCCAGUUCACACAGAUCCAGCAGGAGGAGAUGUCGACGAUCGGUCCAGAAGACGUGACAGAAGCGGAAGGAGGAGGAGGAGGAGAGAUGUCGAUGGUGGGUCCGGAAGAAGACAGGGAUCCGAUGAUAGCGGAGGCCGAGCGGUUCGUGGAGAACUACUACAGCACGUUCGACGCGAACAGGGAGGGCUUGGUGAACCUGUACCGGCAACGAUCGGUGCUGAUUUUCGGCGGCCGGAAGAUCCAGGGCAAGGAGGCUAUCCUCGCCAAACUCACCUCCCUUCCGCAGCCGUGCCACCACGAAAUCGCCGAGUUCGAGUGCAGGACCUAUCGCUUGGCACCCGCAUCGGUCGCCGUGUUCGUCGGGGUCCGCGGCGGGACGUGGGUAGGCGGCAAGAAGGAGGAGGCGGACGGCGCCCUUAUACAGCAGGUCUCUCUCUUUCUCUCUAAGUUAUUAUUUCUUGUCUACGCUUUGCAAUUUCUCUAUCGAUCAAUCCAUUAAUCAAUCGCAUCGCGCAUAAAUACCGAGAGUACGUCUCAAGCUCCUUGUCUAACGCUCUGGCUGGCUCUGAUUCUUACCUUCAGAGCUUCGAUCUGGUGCCAGCACGACAAGGAAGCUUUUACAUAGCUGAACAAUCUGGGAUGUUCUUUGAUCUCAAGAAGCCUCGGACCGGGCGUAUGUCAACCUGGGUACCGAAACUUCCCGCCUCGGGAACGCCCAUGUAUGCCUCGUUAUUUCAAAUGCUCAGCUCGGCAUACCCGCCGACGUCGGCUGCCACGGCACCGAGUACGCCUCCGCAUUUCGAACGCCUCAGCAUUUCGAAUCCGAAUACCCAUGAUGAAACUUCCUCCGUCUCUACAGAGACCUGAUGAUAAAACUGUUUUAUUUUCAAUGUUCUAGACUCUUGUUUUAUUUUCAAUGUUUCAGUGCAGUACUUUUGUGAAUAGGUAUUGGAUUCAUGUUCGAAUCCAAGUUCAGCAUAUGUUAGAGUCAGAUUGCAGUUAUGAACUCAGUGGUAGGGCCUUCUAAUUCUCGUGGUAAUGUGUUGCUCAGUAAAGUUGACUUGAUGUUUCAUGACAUUAGCGGUGAGGAAGUUUAAAAUUUAAGAAUAUG
rnacentral:lncRNA from 1 species